rnacentral:rRNA from 1 species
ACCGAGUGAGGGCCCUCUGGGUCCAACCUCCCACCCGUGUUUAUUUUACCUUGUUGCUUCGGCGGGCCCGUUCCAACUGGCCGCCGGGGGGCUUACGCCCCCGGGCCCGCGCCCGCCGGAAACACCCUCGAACUCUGUCUGAAGAUUGUAGUCUGAGUGAAAAUAUAAAUUAUUUAAAACUUUCAACAACGGAUCUCUUGGUUCCGGCAUCGAUGAAGAACGCAGCGAAAUGCGAUACGUAAUGUGAAUUGCAAAUUCAGUGAAUCAUCGAGUCUUUGAACGCACAUUGCGCCCCCUGGUAUUCCGGGGGGCAUGCCUGUCCGAGCGUCAUUGCUGCCCUCAAGCACGGCUUGUGUGUUGGGCCCCGUCCUCCGAUCCCGGGGGACGGGCCCGAAAGGCAGCGGCGGCACCGCGUCCGGUCCUCGAGCGUAUGGGGCUUUGUCACCCGCUCUGUAGGCCCGGCCGGCGCUUGCCGAUCAACCCAAAUUUUUAUCCAGGUUGACCUCGGAUCAGGUAGGGAUACCCGCUGAACUUAAGCAUAUCAAUAAGCGGAGGAAAAGAAACCCAAAGGGAUUGCCCCAGUAACGGCGAGUGAAGCGGCAAGAGCUCAAAUUUGAAAGCUGGCUCCUUCGGGGUCCGCAUUGUAAUUUGUAGAGGAUGCUUCGGGAGCGGUCCCCAUCUAAGUGCCCUGGAACGGGACGUCAUAGAGGGUGAGAAUCCCGUAUGGGAUGGGGUGUCCGCGCCCGUGUGAAGCUCCUUCGACGAGUCGAGUUGUUUGGGAAUGCAGCUCUAAAUGGGUGGUAAAUUUCAUCUAAAGCUAAAUAUUGGCCGGAGACCGAUAGCGCACAAGUAGAGUGAUCGAAAGAUGAAAAGCACUUUGAAAAGAGAGUUAAAAAGCACGUGAAAUUGGUUAAAGGGAAGCGCUUGCGACCAGACUCGCUCGCGGGGUUCAGCCGGCAUUCGUGCCGGUGUACUUCCCCGCGGGCGGGCCAGCGUCGGUUUGGGCGGUCGGUCAAAGGCCCUCGGAAGGUAACGCCCCUAGGGGCGUCUUAUAGCCGAGGGUGCAAUGCGACCUGCCUAGACCGAGGAACGCGCUUCGGCUCGGACGCUGGCAUAAUGGUCGUAAACGACC